rnacentral:sRNA from 1 species
ACCUGUGCCUGUCCUCCCCGCAAAGUGAGAGCUCCUAAUUGGACCGUGAAACAUCCUCGCUGCCCGGAACCGCCCCCCGACCCAAAGGCCGCCGCUGCUAUUCAAAGAAUGUUGGGAACCAGAACCCAGUAAGAGUGUGUGGAGUGAGUAAACUGGCCUCAGCCCUAAGGCGCUGCUAUCUACAAAGCUUGCGUUAGUCACAAGAGGAACUUUAAACGUAUUGACGCCCGGCAUCUGUACAGACGUUCUGAUGUCCCUGGUACUGGCUGUGACCCUGCCCAGUAGUUUUUUUUUUUUUUAAGAAAAUGCAAAAGUUAAUCUAAUUGACUGCAUAGUGACCCCACUACCCUGAGGAUUAGUCAAGUCUGGUGAUUCUCUUAAGGAAGUUCCCUGGCUUUUUAAAACUAUGCCUACUUCAUCCUGAGUAACCCUGAAAAGAAAUGAGUAAUUCUCCUUACAAUACUUCCUCUUCGUCCCAGUCGGGCAUGGGGUUGUCUUGUUUACCUUAAAGAAAGCUGUAUAUUUAGCACUUGGCACAGCACCACCAGCACCUACCAGAGGCAGCCUUGUCCUCUCAUGCCUCCCUGCCCCUAGGUUACUAAGACUGCUUGGCACCCGAGUGAAUGGAUGGAUGAAUGAAUGAAUGGAUGAAUGGUCGGUCUGACCCACUACUUUGGUUAAUGGCUGGGUGAAAAACAAAAUAGGUGAGAAGGUUGCUGGCUCCUAACAGCCUGAAGCCACACCUGCUGAGAACUGGGUGGCCCUCCCCACAUUCCUUCUAGGCUUUUCUGAGGUGAGAGUAAAAGGCUUGCAUAAAUGUACAGACAACUGCACAGGCUGACCGGACGCCUCUCCCACACUGCCCACAGCUCACUUCUUGUGUGUGUACAAGCAGUGCUUGAACCAGGGCAGCCCCUGACUCUCAAGUGUCGGGACUGGCUCCAAAAUAAGUGUUCAGGCCAAGAGACAGAGAAUUUGAUUGCCCCUGGCUCCCCAGCCAAGGUCUGCAUUAAGCACUGUUUGCCUUAUCUCAGGUGUAGGGACAGUCCGUAAAAAGAAGGUCCUGGGUACCUCAUUAUUAAAAAUAUAGACAGUGCAACUUAUUUCUAGAAUAUGAUGGGAUAUAUCACGGUUAUAAUAACAUACUAAUGCCAGGAUUAUAGGAUUCCAAUAGCUUGACCCUGAAAAUAUCUUACUGGGACUGGUCAGAGGGAUCAUGGUUGAGCAUAUUAGAAACGACCACGUAAGCCGCUUCAACCCCCCACUGCUCCUAAGAUAAGUAGACUGUAGCACGCGCUGGCGGCUGAAACAGCUUCCCCCUUGUGAGGAGAUCCAGAGAGCCGUAUUCUGGUCCAGUUAGUUACUGGUUACGGGAAGAGGCUCCUCCUCCCCUUUCCCCAUAGCUCAAGGUCUGCUCACGCUCUAAUCAAACACCUUAGAUCGAUUUGACUGAGCAUGUUAUCUUCCUUCCCUGAAAACCAACGUAGUAGUCCGUCAAUGCUCAUUUGAAAAGUCACCUUCUCUGGGUGGGGCUCCCAGCCAUGACUGUCCCUUCCCUCUUUGUGGCCCCAAGUACCUACUAAUAACUGCACAUCAUCUAAAUCUAUCAAAACUUUCGAAAAGCAAACCCUUGUUUGAUUUCUUGUCCCCCUAGAAUGUGGUAUCGUAGCUCAGACAACGUCGAAAAAUCCUUCUGUUUCUCAACUAUCGUCUCGGCUAAGACCGGAGUCCUGCUGCCUCAAUACCAAUGUAAACACCCAUCUGCAGAGGGUGCCAGCUACAGUAAUCACUAUGGAACCUCCUUCUCUCUAGGGCCCUGAGAUCAAGUCCAGCUUUCUCAAUGGUCCAGACAAGGCAAGACCCACCCUUCUUUGGGGAGCACUGCCACAUCUUGCCCUCCCUCUGCUCAUGACCUGGUUUCAACUUUAAGAAACCAGAAUCCACCAGACAGGCCUUCCCAGCAUUUUCCCAGGAAAAUGGCUCCCAGUAGAAGAAAACCAAGGUUUGUGGCCAUUGGCUCUUGCCAUCUCCAUUCAACAUCUCCCUUGGUCACCGUCAAUUUCUUGUUCCGUGCCUGAUCAUUUCUGUCGUCAUGCAAACACACUGUGCACCUCUCGUUCCAAGAAAGCUGUCGCCGCAUCCUUUCACAAGGCAAUUGGGUGAGGCGGGUGUUGGAAGAGCUCUCUACACUCCGAAGAACAAUAAAGGAAGCAAAAAAGCAGGAAACUGUCUGAGGAUGUGCCUGCUAAAGGGAAAAGAUGGCGUGCACCAUGCAUGGGACACAAGAAACAAAGAAGUGCCAAGGGGAGAGCUCACUGCACUCACCCAGUGGGGCAGCCAGAGAGCCAGGACGACAUGGUAGAAAGGAAGCAAAAAGCCAGGAGGGGAAAAGGCAGAAGCUGUAAAGGCUUGAACUAGUGAGGCAGCACCUGCCUCUGAGGGUAAACACGGGUUAGGAAUGGGAGAAAGUGAGAGAUGAGAACCUACGAUCCAGAUGUCGGCCUUGGCAGCUGGGUAAGUGGGGGCCCUCUUUGGGACGGGGAUGGUUGGGGAAGGAACGUAAUAGCCUGGUACAAAUCCAUAGUCUGACUUUCUAAUUUUCUCUCUAAAUGGAGAUUUCCAAUAGACAACUGGAUAUAUGGAUCUGGAGGUCAGAACCGAAAGUAAAAAUCAGAGAGAAAUUAGGGGAGUCAAUAUAAACAAUACCAUAUACCAUAUGCACUAGCUGGGCAAGGUGGUGGCACGUGCCUUCAGUCCCAGCGCUCGGGAUCUGGAAGCAGAUCUCUUUGAGUUCGAGGCUUUCCUGGUUCACAAAGUGAGUUCAAGCCAAGAGUCUCAAAAUUAAAUAAGCAAUAGGAUAAAAGGUACUCCAUCUAUUGGGAUUUUCUAGGGAAAAAAGAGAGAGAGGGAGAAAGAACCCAGCAGUAGGGUGUGAGUGUAAAGGGGCUGUGGAGUUAGAAGGGAACCAGUUAACAGUUAGGGCUCUCGCUUGAGAAGUGAGGCCAAAGAUCAGGAGUUCAAGGUUAUCCUUAGCCUGGGAGUUUGAGGCCAGCCAAGACUAUAAGAGACCCUGUCUCUACAUAAAAGAACCCACUGGCUCAGUGACUUAGAAGGUCAACAAAUCCCCAGCCACAGGCCAGAGAUUUGAGUGCCACUGCUCCCUCCCUGCUGCCUGAGGAAGCAGGGAGGGCUCUUCCUCUCUAGUGGGCCUCUGGCUUUUCUCUGGGGGCCGUGAGGUAGCUGGAUGAAUCGUACACGCAUGUGCGCCUUCUGGGAGGUAAUCUUCACUCUGAGUCUACUGAGUUUAAUGUUAAUUACACUUCUAAAAUCCCUUCGCAGCAGCAUCUAGUGUUUAACUAAAGGAGUGGGUGACCACAGCUGGGUCAAGUUGACACGGAAGGUUAAUUCUCACACUCUGGUACUAGAUAAAAGUCACCCAGGGAGCAAGUAGAUUUAGGGGGAUGAGGGUGGCCCAGAGACAGCCCUGAAUGCCAAAUUACAGAGAGAAAAAGGAACUGGCCCAGGGGGAAGGAGCUAGAGGAUGCAGGAAGAAGACAAAGACGAUAAAGUCUCUCGGAAGCCAAUGGAAAGUGCUCCUGUUUAAGGAGGGGACUUCUAUGACAAGGGCACGGAACAGGAAGGGAACUGGAGCUGACAGGCAGGGCCAACUCCUUCAUUCUGAACAGCGAAAAGCAGGGAGUGCAGACAGAGGAUGAGAGCAACAGUGUCGGGGUCUCCUGCUGGUAUCUUUGUUCCUCUAAGAAGGGGAUGAUUAGAGCAAGCUGUCAUACUGGCAGAACUGAGGGAAUAAUCCAGACACGGUAAUGUGGCCAGUCCCUCAGAGAAAAGGACAAGGUGACUGCAGAGCCACCCUCUUGAAACAGACAUUUAUUACUCAGUGGGGCUUGGAAGUAAAACCCAGGUGAUAUUCUAACUUGAGGCAAGUUCCUCAGUUCCCCCAACUCCUUUAUCUCCUCUCCACAGGGUCCCCUGUGGCCCUUCCACUUCCUCAUCUAACCCAAACCUCCCCUUCAUCCCAGUCAUUAGCCCGCCCUCCAUCCCUUUAAUUACCGACUCCCAAGUACUCCACAAAUCCAGUUCCAACCUGUCUUCCCCCAGGAUGCCAUCAAAGAGGCCAGUCCUAUGAAAUGUGUCACAGUGCCAGGCAGUCAUUCAACGUGGCGAUCACACUGUUGCGAUUAUGUUUUAUUUAUGAUUGUUUGAUCAGUGCCCGCCUCCUCUGGAAUGGCAGGGUCAGUCAGCUUUCAAGGUGACAGUGAUGUCUAUCUGUGCUCCCCCACCUCGGUGUACAAGUAACUCCUGAGCUCUUAAAAGAUGGAUCCAUCGGGGCUGGGGAUUUAGCUCAGUGGUAGAGCGCUUACCUAGGAAGCGCAAGGCCCUGGGUUCGGUCCCCAGCUCCGAAAAAAAGAACCAAAAAAAAAAAAAAAAAAGAUGGAUCCAUUUAUUUUAUUUAAAUCUAAUUGAUUUAAAUGUAAACAGCCUCGAGGGAAUCAGGGACUGCAAUUCCUAUUUUAACCACUGUAUGCCCAGCACCCAAUGCAGUGUGCACACAUAGUGACUGGAGUUCAGUAAAUAUUUGUCCAGAGCUUAAAUCUGUAGAUUGGGGAUAUCGCUAGUUAAUUUAUAUCCAUUGUAUCUUUUCCAUAUAGGGGAAAAAUGUUUUCCACAGGACAAAUGUCAGGGGGUCUCCUACAGUUCCAGAGAGGUGAAUUUCACUUUUCAGAGCACGGUCCAUCUCAAGGGGAAGCUGGGACAACAGGGAAAACACCCUGGUCGUCUGAAUGGAAUUCCGUCUGUAAUCUUCUUGGGAAGUGCCUGGAGCGUGGGGAAUGCCCAAAUGUGCUGGUCCACAAGCUCCACUGAGAGCACAGAAGGGAACCAGAUGCUGGUGUGCCAUCACAGGAGAGGGCUCCUAAGCCGAGCGGCCUUAACCCAAAGCCUGAGAAAUAACAGACAAAGAGAACGGAGCUGAGAACGGUGAGAGGAGCUGAGUUUGUUGGCCCUCAGCUACGAGAACAGGGCCGAGGCUACCCCAGCGCUAUAAUACUGAGCUACCUCACCAGCAAAAUGUCCCAGGCGGAGCAAGCAACAGGCAAAAAGGUAUUGAGGUCUUAGGAAGGAAACAGUACAUCUCUGUGUAAAGGGAGGCAAAACAGAGACACACUGGAUCCCAUCUGUAGAUCAAAGCCAAGGAAGUGUUUGGCCCAUUUCUGCACACGCUCGAUGAAUCCCCAUAGGAUUCUAAAAAAAAAAAAAAAAAAAAAAACGAGGGCUGUAGAAAGUUAAGGUUUUUAUCAAAGCAGGUAAUGCUAAGAGUUCGGGUAAAAAUCCAGGGUUCCCCUGGGCAUAGUGGUGCAUACCUUUAAUCCUAGCCCUUGGGGGGCACAGUUCAAGGUCUCUGAGUUUUAGGUCAGCCUGAGCUACAGUAAGUUCUAGGUCAGGUAUGGCUACACAGUGAAGAUCUUCUCUCACAAACAACAUGACUCAGCAGUUAAGAGCGCUGGCUGCUCUUCCAGAAGACCCGGCUUCGAUGCCCAGCACCCACAACUCCAGUUCCGGUGAAUCUGAUGCCCUCUUCUGGUCCUCCGAGGGCCCUGGGCACACACCGAGGGCACAGACAUGCAUGCAAGCACUUAACCAUACACAAACAUUUUUAAAGUUUUUCUUUAAAACAACAAACAAAGAGCUCGAGGGGUUCCUAUCUAUAAACCCAUCGUUUCACAGUUAAUUACUAUACAGGGAGGAAUGAAAAUUAUAAAAAGCAACAUGCUAAAGAUACAAAAACAGCAGUAGCUUUCUGACAAGGGCCAAAGAAGAUUUUGUCCACACAGCAUCCAUCCUGGGAACUCUGAAAUCCAACCCUGGUAACCAUGACCCCACGAAGACAUCUCCCCUCAGACACAGUCUGUCCCCCUCCUUUCUCCUAUGGGGUUGCAUUCAGGACAUCUUUUCUCACUUCUCCCGCUGCCUGAGGGCCUGUUAGCCUCUCCACAGUCCUCGCCACAGCCCCUGGAGAUUAGUGCCAUCUCCAUUCACAGAUGACUAACUCCAGGGUGGGUGACACAGUGAGUCCUCUCUCUACCCCGCACUAUCUGCUUGAGGGGCUAAUCUUUGUUUCCCUGAUGCCUGGGGUGCACACUCCAUGAGGAGACACACUGCAGGUUUGACUGAAUCUGACUUUUCUGGGUUUUGUGGGGGGGGGGGUGCUUUUAGGUGUUAAUGGAGAGAACCGUGCAGCAAGGGUGAAGGAGCCCUGACUUGUAGCACAUGCCAGAGUCCGAGGUAUAAAUACUUCAAGCUACCAGCUUAGGCACAAAGUCCCUGAGUGUGUAACGGCGGCUUCCCUAGCUGGCAGGAGCUCUUGGGUACCAGCUGUCUGCCUCUCUGUCUCUUCUUCCAGCAGCUCUGUACUCAGACCUCCCUGCAUCCUCAGACAACACGAUGCAGACUGUUCUCCUGAGGCUUAACUGGCCGGCAUGCUACACUAUCCCAGCUCCUAAUGUGCUCUGGAACCCGAUAUCCUGCUUUCAAUGGGGCCUGUUCCCUCUUGCACAAGUCUCCAGGCCGUGCCCACUGCUGCGGCUCCUUGUAGUAGAGGGGGAAACCUGCUCUGAAACCACGGUCUGGCCUUUCUGCUAGCGAGCUGUGUGCCCUUGGGCACAUCCUGGUACACCUCUGUGCCUCAGUUUACUCAUCUGUAACGUGCUGAUAAAUAACAUGUAUACCUCAUGUGGUGGUUGUGAGAUGAGGUAUUGGAAAGCCCAAGAAUGUGAUGGGUAAUCAAUAUUUGCAUGCACAGCGUUCUUCUGACAUGGCCUGAAGCUGGAAAGCUUUCAUAAACUCCUUCCAUGAGUCAUUCACAGGAACUAUCAACAACGUAUUAUAUUACACCAGACCCUGUCCAUGAUCUAAUCCAAAGGACACAUCCCCAGUCUAUAUGAAGCAUGCCGUUUUAUUUAAUUUUUUUUUGAGACACUCUCACAUAGCCCAGGCUGGCCUUGAACUCACUAUGUACUGAGAUUUCAGGGAUGAGGGGCUGGAUGGCAAACCCAGUGUUUCCCGCAGGCGAGGCAAGAACCCUGUCCACUGAUCUGCACCCCCAGCCCCAAGCGUGCUGCUUCCUCCAGGGCACACGCUCAUUCCUCAGAGCUUGUCGUUC